rnacentral:rRNA from 1 species
UUAAGCGACUAAGCGUACACGGUGGAUGCCCUGGCAGUCAGAGGCGAUGAAGGACGUGCUAAUCUGCGAUAAGCGUCGGUAAGGUGAUAUGAACCGUUAUAACCGGCGAUUUCCGAAUGGGGAAACCCAGUGUGUUUCGACACACUAUCAUUAACUGAAUCCAUAGGUUAAUGAGGCGAACCGGGGGAACUGAAACAUCUAAGUACCCCGAGGAAAAGAAAUCAACCGAGAUUCCCCAAGUAGCGGCGAGCGAACGGGGAGCAGCCCAGAGCCUGAAUCAGUGUGUGUGUUAGUGGAAGCGUCUGGAAAGGCGCGCGAUACAGGGUGACAGCCCCGUACACAAAAAUGCACAUGCUGUGAGCUCGAUGAGUAGGGCGGGACACGUGGUAUCCUGUCUGAAUAUGGGGGGACCAUCCUCCAAGGCUAAAUACUCCUGACUGACCGAUAGUGAACCAGUACCGUGAGGGAAAGGCGAAAAGAACCCCGGCGAGGGGAGUGAAAAAGAACCUGAAACCGUGUACGUACAAGCAGUGGGAGCACGCUUAGGCGUGUGACUGCGUACCUUUUGUAUAAUGGGUCAGCGACUUAUAUUCUGUAGCAAGGUUAACCGAAUAGGGGAGCCGAAGGGAAACCGAGUCUUAACUGGGCGUUAAGUUGCAGGGUAUAGACCCGAAACCCGGUGAUCUAGCCAUGGGCAGGUUGAAGGUUGGGUAACACUAACUGGAGGACCGAACCGACUAAUGUUGAAAAAUUAGCGGAUGACUUGUGGCUGGGGGUGAAAGGCCAAUCAAACCGGGAGAUAGCUGGUUCUCCCCGAAAGCUAUUUAGGUAGCGCCUCGUGAAUUCAUCUCCGGGGGUAGAGCACUGUUUCGGCAAGGGGGUCAUCCCGACUUACCAACCCGAUGCAAACUGCGAAUACCGGAGAAUGUUAUCACGGGAGACACACGGCGGGUGCUAACGUCCGUCGUGAAGAGGGAAACAACCCAGACCGCCAGCUAAGGUCCCAAAGUCAUGGUUAAGUGGGAAACGAUGUGGGAAGGCCCAGACAGCCAGGAUGUUGGCUUAGAAGCAGCCAUCAUUUAAAGAAAGCGUAAUAGCUCACUGGUCGAGUCGGCCUGCGCGGAAGAUGUAACGGGGCUAAACCAUGCACCGAAGCUGCGGCAGCGAC